GCCCGGGUAGCUCAAUCGGUAGAGCGUGUGGCUCUUAAGAAUUAAGUUGUGACCUCAAGGUCGCGGGUUCGAGCCCCGCCUCGGGCU
rnacentral:tRNA from 2 species